rnacentral:sRNA from 20 species
UGACCACUUCCUUACAGAAGUCAAGGCCAUACGGACAGCCGGGUCAAAUGCCGA